rnacentral:rRNA from 1 species
UACGUAGGGUCCGAGCGUUUGUCCGGAAUUACUGGGCGUAAAGAGCUCGUAGGUGGUUUGUCGCGUUGUUCGUGAAAACUCACAGCUCAACUGUGGGCGUGCGGGCGAUACGGGCAGACUAGAGUACUGCAGGGGAGACUGGAAUUCCUGGUGUAGCGGUGGAAUGCGCAGAUAUCAGGAGGAACACCGGUGGCGAAGGCGGGUCUCUGGGCCGAUACUGACGCUGAGGAGCGAAAGCGUGGGGAGCGAACGGG